rnacentral:sRNA from 1 species
GCUGGGCAUAGUGGUCCAUGCCUGUAAUCCGAGCUACUCAGGAGGCUGAGGCAGCAGGAUCAUGAGUUCAAGGCCAGUGUUGGGAACUUAGUGAGACCCUGUCUUAA